AUGAACGCUGGCGGCGUGCCUAAUCCCUGCAAGUCGCGCGAACAGACGAGGAGCUUGCUCCUCUGACGUUAGCGGCGGACGGGUGAGUAACACGUGGAUAACCUACCUAUAAGACUGGGAUAACUUCGGGAAACCGGAGCUAAUACCGGAUAAUAUAUUGAACCGCAUGGUUCAAUAGUGAAAGACGGUUUUGCUGUCACUUAUAGAUGGAUCCGCGCCGCAUUAGCUAGUUGGUAAGGUAACGGCUUACCAAGGCAACGAUGCGUAGCCGACCUGAGAGGGUGAUCGGCCACACUGGAACUGAGACACGGUCCAGACUCCUACGGGAGGCAGCAGUAGGGAAUCUUCCGCAAUGGGCGAAAGCCUGACGGAGCAACGCCGCGUGAGUGAUGAAGGGCUUCGGAUCGUAAAACUCUGUUAUUAGGGAAGAACAAAUGUGUAAGUAACUAUGCACGUCUUGACGGUACCUAAUCAGAAAGCCACGGCUAACUACGUG
rnacentral:rRNA from 1 species